GCUUGCUUCUCUUGAGAGCGGCGGACGGGUGAGUAAUGCCUAGGAAUCUGCCUGGUAGUGGGGGAUAACGUUCGGAAACGGACGCUAAUACCGCAUACGUCCUACGGGAGAAAGCAGGGGACCUUCGGGCCUUGCGCUAUCAGAUGAGCCUAGGUCGGAUUAGCUAGUUGGUGGGGUAAUGGCUCACCAAGGCGACGAUCCGUAACUGGUCUGAGAGGGUGAUCAGUCACACUGGAACUGAGACACGGUCCAGACUCCUACGGGGGGCAGCAGUGGGGAAUAUUGGACAAUGGGCGAAAGCCUGAUCCAGCCAUGCCGCGUGUGUGAAGAAGGUCUUCGGAUUGUAAAGCACUUUAAGUUGGGAGGAAGGGUUGUAGAUUAAUACUCUGCAAUUUUGACGUUACCGACAGAAUAAGCACCGGCUAACUCUGUGCCAGCAGCCGCGGUAAUACAGAGGGUGCAAGCGUUAAUCGGAAUUACUGGGCGUAAAGCGCGCGUAGGUGGUUUGUUAAGUUGGAUGUGAAAUCCCCGGGCUCAACCUGGGAACUGCAUUCAAAACUGACUGACUAGAGUAUGGUAGAGGGUGGUGGAAUUUCCUGUGUAGCGGUGAAAUGCGUAGAUAUAGGAAGGAACACCAGUGGCGAAGGCGACCACCUGGACUAAUACUG
rnacentral:rRNA from 1 species